GCGAGAAGACUUUGCAAUGUGCGAAAGCACGACAAGGUUAAUCCGAGUGGUUUCUGCUAAAGGAACCUUUUGUCAGUCCUAGAAACACUGAUGAAUAAGGGGUGGGCAAGUUCUGGUGUCAGCCGCCGCGGUAAAACCAGCACCUCAAGUGGUCAGGAUGAUUAUUGGGCCUAAAGCAUCCGUAGCCGGCUCUGUAAGUUUUCGGUUAAAUCUGUACGCUCAACGUACAGGCUGCCGGGAAUACUGCAAAGCUAGGGAGUGGGAGAGGUAGACGGUACUCGGUAGGAAGGGGUAAAAUCCUUUGAUCUAUUGAUGACCACCUGUGGCGAAGGCGGUCUACCAGAACACGUCCGACGGUGAGGGAUGAAAGCUGGGGGAGCAAACCGGAUUAGAUACCCGGGUAGUCCCAGCUGUAAACCAUGCAAACUCAGUGAUGCAUUGGCUUGUGGCCAAUGCAGUGCUGCAGGGAAGCCGUUAAGUUUGCCGCCUGGGAAGUACGUACGCAAGUAUGAAACUUAA
rnacentral:rRNA from 1 species